GCGCCAGCCGCUUUAGUGCGGGGGCGCGGGCGUCCAGGGUCGAGCGGGUUUCUGAGCUCGGGGUUGGAGCCGGAGCCGGAGCCGGAGCCGGAUUCCGCGCGGACGGCCACGUCAACCUAAACCUACACCGCCCUCCCCACCCUGCUGCCGCCGCGGCCGCUGAGCCUGCCGCAGGUCCUCCCAGGCCGCGUCCUCCACGCCUUUCCCACAGUGCCCCGCGCCAGGCCCCGCCCCGGUUCGGCGUGGGGACCGGGGCGCGAGGAGCCGACUGGAGCUGCUACGCUGGUUGCUGCCGGUGCGGCUCGACCUCCCCCAUCCCGAGCGCGGCGGCCGGGCGGUCGGAGACGGCGUGCUUCGUUCGCGCGCGCACAGCUUGCGUUCGGUCGGGUGGGGUCCGCCGCCGGGAACUGAGGAUGGGGGAGUAGCUACAAGAGGCGACCCCGCUGCACCGAGAUUGACAUUUUGGGAGACAGUUUCAUGAUGCUUGAUUCACUCUUGGAGUAAUGUGAACAGAAGUUCUCAAACUUGCAUAUUGUAUCAACUGGAACCAGCGGUGUAUGUUAUUGUUCACUUAAAUCAGAACUUGUUUAAGAAAAAGAAUGGGAGUCUGGUUAAAUAAAAAUGACUAUGUCAGAGACUUGAAAAGGGUCAUUCUCUGUUUUCUAAUAGUGUAUAUGGCCAUUUUAGUGGGCACAGAUCAGGAUUUUUACAGUUUACUUGGAGUAUCCAAAACUGCAAGCAGUAGAGAAAUAAGACAAGCUUUCAAGAAAUUGGCAUUGAAGUUACAUCCUGAUAAAAACCCGAAUAACCCAAACGCACAUAGUGAUUUUUUAAAAAUAAAUAGAGCAUAUGAAGUACUCAAAGAUGAAGAUCUGCGGAAAAAGUAUGACAAAUACGGAGAAAAGGGACUUGCAGAUAAUCAAGAAGGAGGCCAGUAUGAAAGCUGGAAUUAUUAUCGUUAUGAUUUUGGUAUUUAUGAUGAUGAUCCUGAAAUCAUAACAUUGGAUAGAAGAGAAUUUGAUGCUGCUGUUAAUUCUGGAGAACUGUGGUUUGUGAACUUUUACUCCCCAGGAUGUUCACACUGCCAUGAUUUAGCUCCCACAUGGAGAGACUUUGCUAAAGAAGUGGAUGGAUUACUUCGAAUUGGUGCUGUUAACUGCGGUGAUGAUAGAAUGCUUUGCCGAAUGAAAGGAGUCAACAGUUAUCCCAGCCUCUUCAUUUUUAGGUCUGGAAUGGGUGCAGUGAAAUAUCAUGGUGACAGAUCAAAGGAAAGUUUAGUGAGUUUCGCCAUGCAGCAUGUUAGAAGCACUGUGACAGAAUUAUGGACAGGAAAUUUUGUUAACUCCAUACAAACUGCUUUUGCUGCUGGUGUUGGCUGGCUGAUCACUUUUUGUUCCAAAGGAGGAGAUUGUUUGACUUCACAGACACGACUCAGGCUCAGUGGCAUGUUGGAUGGUCUUGUUAAUGUAGGAUGGAUGGACUGUGCCACCCAGGACAACCUUUGUAAAAGUUUGGAUAUUACAACAAGUACUACUGCCUAUUUUCCUCCUGGAGCCACCUUAAGUAACAAAGAGAAAAGCAGUGUUUUGUUCCUUAAUUCAUUGGAUGCUAAAGAAAUAUAUUUGGAAAUAAUGCAUAAUCUUCCAGAUUUUGAACUACUUUCGGCAAACACACUAGAGGAUCGGUUGGCUCAUCAUCGGUGGCUCAUAUUUUUUAAUUUUGGAAAACAUGAAAAUUCCAAUGAUCCUGAGUUGAAGAAACUAAAAACUCUACUUAAAAAUGAACAUAUUCAAGUUGGUAAGUUUGACUGUUCCUCUGCACCAGACAUCUGUAGUAAUCUGUAUGUGUUUCAGCCAUGUCUAGCAGUAUUUAAAGGACAAGGAACCAAAGAAUAUGAAAUCCAUCAUGGAAAGAAGAUUCUGUAUGAUAUACUUACCUUUGCCAAAGAAAGUGUUAAUUCUCAUGUUACCACACUUGGACCUCAAAAUUUUCCUGCCAAUGACAAGGAACCAUGGCUUGUUGAUUUUUUUGCCCCAUGGUGCCCACCGUGUCGAGCUUUAUUGCCAGAGUUACGAAAAGCAUCAAAACAUCUUUACGGUCAGCUUAAGUUUGGUACACUAGAUUGUACAGUUCACGAGGGACUCUGUAACAUGUAUAACAUUCAGGCUUAUCCAACAACAGUGGUUUUCAACCAGUCCAAUGUUCAUGAAUAUGAAGGACAUCACUCUGCUGAACAGAUCUUGGAAUUCAUAGAGGAUCUUAUGAAUCCUUCAGUGAUCUCCCUGACACCCACCACUUUCAAUGAACUAGUUAAACAGAGAAAACGUGAUGAAGUGUGGAUGGUUGAUUUCUAUUCUCCGUGGUGUCAUCCAUGUCAAGUCCUAAUGCCAGAAUGGAAAAGAAUGGCCCGGACAUUAACUGGACUGAUCAAUGUGGGCAGUAUAGACUGCCAACAGUAUCAUUCUUUUUGUGCCCAAGAAAAUGUUCGGAGAUACCCUGAGAUAAGAUUUUUCCCCCCAAAAUCAAAUAAAGCUUAUCAGUAUCAUAGUUACAAUGGUUGGAAUAGAGAUGCUUAUUCCCUGAGAAUUUGGGGUCUAGGAUUUUUACCUCAAGCAUCCAUAGAUCUAACACCUCAGACUUUCAAUGAAGAAGUUAUACAAGGGAAAAAUCAUUGGGUGGUUGAUUUCUAUGCUCCUUGGUGUGGACCUUGCCAAAAUUUUGCUCCAGAGUUUGAGCUCUUGGCUAGGAUGAUUAAAGGAAAAGUGAAAGCUGGAAAAGUAGACUGUCAGGCUUAUGCUCAAACAUGCCAGAAAGCUGGUAUCAGAGCCUAUCCAACUGUUAAAUUUUUUCCCUACGAAAGAGCAAAGAAACUACUGAAGAGACAUACCAGAAUACUAGUAGUAGUUUUCUGUGAGUGGAGAAUUUAAGAGAAGUAUUUGGGGAGAGCAAAUAGAUGCCAGAGAUGCAAAAGAGAUUGCUACCUUUAUAUAUGAAAAAUUGAAAAAUCUCCAAAAUCAUGGAAAGAGGGAUAAGGAUGAACUUUAAUGAUGGUUGAAGAUGGAGAAAAGGAAUUCUAACAAAUGACAUCAGAAGACAUCUUUUUAGGAUGUUACUACAUUCUUGGUGGGAAUAAAUGAACAUUAUGUUGGACUUGUAAUUGCACUGUCUGAAUUCUGUACAACACUGGUAUAAAUAAAAGGUCUGCAAGCUUUUUCUGUAAAAGGCCAGAUCGUAAAGACUUUAGGUUUUGUAGACCAUAUACAGUUGUCACAUAUUCUGUUUUUUUGUUUACAACCCUUAAAAAAAUGCAAAAACGAUUCUUAGCUCAGGGCCAUACACAAACAGGCCACAGAUUACUGACCCCUGGAAAUGACGUUAAAACUGGCUGGCUCAAACAUGAGCCUGCUCUAUUAUGUACAUACAUGUCUAAGUUGUACAAAACUGGACUCUAUUCCUUAAAGUUUUGUGGCUGGCCUGAAAAGAAAUAACUUGGUUUUAGUCGACUGCCUGUUCUAAAUAUUGGAUGAAAUGGAUUCUGUUUCAUUUAAAAAACACAAGUUGUGGCAAACAUACCCUAUUUUCAUGCUGUAUUAUAGUGAAGCGAUUUUUCAUUUUCUUUCCUUUCUAAAGGCUGAACUGAUUUUGUAAUAAUAAAUAAACCCAGUAGAUUUCUACAGCAUCUAGAAAUACCUGAGGAAAACAAUAUUUGUAGCUAUUAGCUGGGCACUGUAGAAUAUCUCAAAUAUAUCAAGUAUUUAGAGGUCUGUAUUUUAAACAUAUGUGUUCAUUUAUUUUCUGAAUUGCUUUCUUAAAAGUUUUAUCCUGUGAUAGUAAUUGACUUUUGAAGUAUUGUUCUAAUACUUAUAGUUUUGCCUUCUGGACUUUGUUUUGAUACAGAUCCUUUAUUUACAUUUGCCUUCUCCCCUCCCUCCACCUCCCCAUAGCUGUGGUUUUUCACUAGUCUGAUUUCUUCAUUAUUCAAAUCGGAAAAGUAACUUUGCAGCUUUGUUUCACUGUAGUUCAUAUUGACACUGCAGUUAUUCCAUUUAUUAGUUUGCUGUUGAAUGCUACCAUUUUCAGACAAAUAUUGGCAUAACUGAACUUAUUUUUGUAAGAAAAUCAAGUAUAUAAAUCUAAGGAUGGGAUCUUUUCAUUUCUCAGUUGUUCGGACUAAAAGAAUCCAAAAUUUUCCUUGCAUCUAAACAAAACAUGUCAACGUGCAGUUGUUUAGUUACAAUUCAGAGUGUAUGGAAUGGUAAAAACUCCAGUUGAUCAAAAGAGGUCAGCAAAUUGAAAAGUUAUCCCAAAAACUUAUUAGGAUUAUGCUUUAUUAUAUUAGAAGAGUUUUAUUUUUUUAAUGUAACUAUGUCCUUCCCAAUAUUUCCUCAUAAAGAUAAUUAUUUUACCACUGCAGUAUCUACAAAGACAAAUUUUAUUUUCAAGUCUAACCUUAACUCAUAUUCUCCCAUUUUGCUUCAGUUGAAUCCUUUCAGUCCUACUACCCUUGGAUUCCAGUUCACUUAUGUGGGCAGUUACAGACCAAUUGCCACUUCUAACUUUAAUACCACCUUUUUGAAAUAUGAUUAGUAAUGGCAAGUGCCUUUCAUGUGUUAAAUUUUCACUGCCUAGAAAUCUCAAAAUUGGCUUUCCACAAUAAUCCCAAAAUGGAAGACCUAAAGAAGUCUUGGUAACUGUUUAUUGAAUUAAUGUACCAGUUAUGCAAAUACCACUGUGCUGGACACUGAAGCAUGUUUAGAAGGAAUCCAAGGGUUGGUUCCUGUCUCCCAAGUGUCUGUAAUUCACAGGUCUGACACUGAACCCAUAAAUAGGUUUAUAGGUACCUGUACUACUACCUAUAAAUGCAAUUCCAAACUUACUGAGAAACAUUUUAGGCAGUAAAAAAAAAAAAAAGCAAACAUUAUGUAUCCUGUAACUUGGUCUAAGUAUGUGCCUAUGGAAUUGGCUCUAAAGCCAGGGCUACUGGGAGUUCUAUUAAAUAUUUAUCCUACAGUAUCCAACUGGAGGCUAUUUUCUGCAAAAAUAAGUGUCAUUGAGUAUCUCAAGAACAGCUGGCAGAAUUAAAGGUUUUAACAGCCAUGUAAGUGCAGUAGAGCACCUCUGAAGAGUGCCAGGUAAAACGUGCCAUUUCUCUCAGCAACACCAUUUUUGUGUGCAACUGCCCUUGGGUAACAGAGCACCAUUUCUAGCAGACUAGAGAGUAUUCUAUCAGGCAACUGUAUUUGAAAAUUAAAUAUUUAAAUAUGUGGCUAUAUAAAACA